GAUGAACGCUGGCGGCGUGCCUAAUACAUGCAAGUCGAGCGAACGGACGAGAAGCUUGCUUCUCUGAUGUUAGCGGCGGACGGGUGAGUAACACGUGGAUAACCUACCUAUAAGACUGGGAUAACUUCGGGAAACCGGAGCUAAUACCGGAUAAUAUUUUGAACCGCAUGGUUCAAAAGUGAAAGACGGUCUUGCUGUAACUAAUAGAUGGAUCCGCGCUGCAUUAGCUAGUUGGUAAGGUAACGGCUUACCAAGGCAACGAUGCAUAGCCGACCUGAGAGGGUGAUCGGCCACACUGGAACUGAGACACGGUCCAGACUCCUACGGGAGGCAGCAGUAGGGAAUCUUCCGCAAAGGGCGAAAGCCUGACGGAGCAACGCCGCGUGAGUGAUGAAGGUCUUCGGAUCGUAAAACUCUGUUAUUAGGGAAGAACAUAUGUGUAAGUAACUGUGCACAUCUUGACGGUACCUAAUCAGAAAGCCACGGCUAACUACGUG
rnacentral:rRNA from 1 species